rnacentral:rRNA from 1 species
AGAGUUCGAUCCUGGCUCAGGAUGAACGCCGGCGGCGUGCCUAAUACAUGCAAGUCGAGCGGGGCCCGCAAGGGUCCAGCGGCAAACGGGUGAGUAACACGUUGGUAACCUGCCCCUCGGAUCGGAAUACCGGGGAGAAAUCUCCGCUAAUGCCGGAUAUGUGCGCCUGGCUCGGGCCGGGCGGACGAAAGGGGGCCGAAAGGCCUCGCCGGGGGAUGGGCCUGCGGCGCAUCAGCCAGUUGGCGGGACAAAGGCCCACCAAAGCGAGGAUGCGUAGCCGGACUGAGAGGUCGGCCGGCCACAUUGGAACUGAGACACGGUCCAGACUCCUACGGGAGGCAGCAGUAGGGAGUAUUUGGCAAUGGGGGAAACCCUGACCGAGCAACGCCGCGUGUGCGAUGGAGUCCCUCAGGGACGUGAAGCACUGUGGGGGGCCGCCAAACGGGCGGGCAGGAAAUGGCCCGUCCCCGAGGAGCCCCCUAGAAAGCGACUGCUAACCACGUGCCAGCAGCAGCGGUAAUACGUGGGUCGCAAGCGUUAUCCGGAAUCAUUGGGCGUAAAGAGUGAGCAGGCGGUCCGGGAAGUCCGCGGUGAAAUGCGGGGGCUCAACCCCCGCAGGCCGCGGAUACUUCCGGUCUGGGGUGCGGGAGAGGCGGACGGAACUCCGCGUGUAGCGGUGAAAUGCACUGAUACGCGGAAGAACACCGGUGGCGAAGGCGGUCCGCCAGACCGAUACCGACGCUCAGUCACGAAAGCGUGGGGAGCAAAUAGGAUUAGAUACCCUAGUAGUCCACGCCGUAAACGAUGGGGGCCAGGGCGCGGGGUCGACCCGCGUCCGAAGCAAACGCAUUAAGCCCCCCGCCUGGGUACUACGUUCGCAAGAAUAAAACUUAAAGGAAUUGGCGGGUGCCCGCACAAGCAGUGGAGCAUGCGGUUCAAUUCGUGGCUACACGUAGAACCUUACCAGGGUUUGACAUGCCGGCAAAGGCCCCGGAGACGGGGAGAUAGCUAUGCCGGACAAAGGUGGUGCAUGGCUGUCGUCAGCUCGUGUCGUGA